UACAGAGGGGGCGAGCGUUGUUCGGAAUUACUGGGCGUAAAGGGCGCGUAGGCGGCCUUCUAAGUCGAACGUGAAAUCCCCGGGCUCAACCCGGGAACUGCGUCCGAUACUGGGAGGCUUGAAUCCGGGAGAGGGAUGUGGAAUUCCAGGUGUAGCGGUGAAAUGCGUAGAUAUCUGGAGGAACACCGGUGGCGAAGGCGGCAUCCUGGACCAAUUCUGACGCUGAGUGAGCGAAAGCCAGGGGAGCAAACGGG
rnacentral:rRNA from 1 species